rnacentral:rRNA from 1 species
UACGUAGGGGGCAAGCGUUGUCCGGAAUCAUUGGGCGUAAAGCGCGUGUAGGCGGUUCGGUAAGUCGGCUGUGAAAGUCAAGGGCUCAACCCUUGAAUGCCGGUUGAUACUGUCGGGCUAGAGUCCGGAAGAGGCGAGUGGAAUUCCCGGUGUAGCGGUGAAAUGCGUAGAGAUCAUGAGGAAGACCAGUGGCGAAGGCGGGUCUCUGGGCAUGAUCUGACGCUGAGGAGCGAAAGUGUGGGGAGCGAACAGG